CCUACGGGUGGCAGCAGUGAGGAAUAUUGGUCAAUGGAGGAGACCCUGAACCAGCCAAGCAGCGUGCAGGAAGACGGCCCUAUGGGUUGUAAACUUCUUUUAUCGGGGGACAAACUCCGUCACGUGUCCCUGACUGCGUGUAUCGCAAGAAAAAGGAUCGGCUAACUCCGUGCCAGCAGCCGCGGUAAUACGGAGGAUGCGAGCGUUAUCCGGAUUUAUUGGGUUUAAAGGGUGCGCAGGCGGAGGUGCAAGUGAGAGGUAAAAUUGCGGGGCUCAACCCCGUACUGCCGUGGAAACUGCAUGCCUUGAGUGCGCGAGAAGUAUGCGGAAUGCGUGGUGUAGCGGUGAAAUGCAUAGAUAUCACGCAGAACUCCGAUUGCGAAGGCAGCAUACCGGCGCGCAACUGACGCUCAUGCACGAAAGCGUGGGUAUCGAACAGGAUUAGAUACCCGGGUAGUC
rnacentral:rRNA from 1 species